GUGUUAUAUGAAAUAAGAGAAGGUUAGCACCAUCCUUGACAAGGAUGGACAAGGCCCUCGGGCUUAACAACAUUAAGGUUAAGGCAUUGCCGCCUACCUUGUAGCAUCUAACCACUCUAGAAU